GAUGAACGCUGGCGGCGUGCCUAAUACAUGCAAGUCGAGCGAACGGACGCGAAGCUUGCUUCUCUGAUGUUAGCGGAGGACGGGUGAGUAACACGUGGAUCACCUACCUAUAAGACUGGGAUAACUUCGGGAAACCGUAGCUAAUACCGGAUAACAUUUUGAACCGCGUGGUGCAAAAGUGAAAGACGGUCUUGCUGUCACUUAUAGAUGGAUCCGCGCUGCAGUAGCUAGUUGGUAAGGUAACGGCUUACCAAGGCAGCGAUGCAUAGACGACGUGAGAGGGUGAUCGCCCACACUGGAACUGAGACACCGUCCAGGCGCCUACGGGAGGCAGCAGUCGGGAAUCUUCCGCAAUGGGCGAGAGCCUUGCGGAGCAACGCCGCGUGAGUGAUGAAGGUCUUCCGAUCGUAAAACUCUGUUAUUAGUGAAGAACAUAUGUGUAAGUAACUGUGCACAUCGUGACGGUACCUAAUCAGAAAGCCACGGCUAACUACGUG
rnacentral:rRNA from 1 species